UGUGGCCCGCGCCAUAACGGUCAGCGCUCUCGAAUUUUUAGUCCGUAGAUAGGAAAUCGUAAUCUCGGUACCUACCUUAUAAGAUCUACAACUUAAAAAUAAUACGUUAUACGAUUUAAAUAAAACAAACUUUAGUUUGGGACAUUCAAGUUUAGGUAUUUCGUUUUUAGUUAGAUAAUGACAAUUUAAUUAUUUAAAUACAACAAAUGGUACACCAACAUGAACGGCUCAUUCUAUUAUGAAUUUAUAAAUACGAAUUCCUUCAAACAACAAAUGUGUGUAAUAAUAAUUCACUCCAAUUACACAGUGAUUUAGCAAGUAAUCCUUAUGGGUUGUUUUGGAUUACCUUACAAAGAAUAAUGUUUGAAUAAAAGUUGUCGAAAUAUGUUAGUAAUACUUUUUAUUCUGAAAUCAAGGAGAGUGACAUUUGAUUCCAGGACAGAAGAUAUAUCCAUGGAUUUUGUGAUUGUUUCUUCAUCCAUAGCUAAAACACCAAUGAGCACAGAUGGUUUAAGAUAAAGCUGUUAUUUGUCUGACUGAAAUGGAAGUACUGCACACACGAACUGAAUUGGACGAAUCUUUGACAAUAUAUAUGUACCUCUUCCAAUUUGUAAAUUAUUAUACAUCAAUAAUUUAUACAGCUUUUUUGAAUGGCAAAAAUGUUGAUUAUCCUGCUAAAUAUUUGCUUAUAGUUAUAUUCAAUCUUCGUCGAGAAGAAUGUAGUCCAGAUGGAUCUCUCAUGGAAUUAAGCAUCAAAUUGUUCAUUAUAAUGGUUGGGCAACAAUCAUCAAAGACUGUAUUGUAUUGGUUUUUUAGUUAAAGCCAAAAACUAAAACUGUUUAUAUUUAAGUGUGGGUUGAAAUUGGCUGAGAACACAGGUGUCUUAGAUAAUUUGAAAUCAUCAUCCGGAGAAGAAAAUUUGGACACAGUUGUUAAGAAACCUUGGAUUGAAGAUUACAAUACUUUAGAUUGGUAACCAAGACGACUCUUCCCAGAAUAUUUGGAAAUGGAUAUUGACUUAAACAGAAUAUACUAUAAAAAUUGAAGAUGUGUCUCUAAAACGCAUUAAAAUAUUGGAUGAAUGGAUAAAUAAUAAUGCCAACACACCAGAUUUAACCAAUAGUAAGUACUCCAUAAA
rnacentral:lncRNA from 1 species